rfam:Schistosoma haematobium scaffold641_15, whole genome shotgun sequence.
AUUCAGCUGACGAGUCCCAAAUGGAACGGAACAUGUGUCUUGGAU